rnacentral:rRNA from 1 species
UACGUAGGGACCAAGCGUUAUUCGGAUUUACUGGGCGUAAAGGGCGCGUAGGCGGCAAUUCAAGUCAUCUGUGAAAUCUCCGGGCUUAACCCGGAACGGUCAGGUGAUACUGUUUUGCUAGAGUGCGGAAGGGGCAAUCGGAAUUCUCGGUGUAGCGGUGAAAUGCGUAGAUAUCGAGAGGAACACCAGAGGUGAAGACGGGUUGCUGGGCCGACACUGACGCUGACAGCGCGAAAGCCAGGGGAGCAAACGGG